GGAAAAACCUUUGUGUGAGGAGUUCUGGGGACUGAUUUUUAUAGUCCUGACCCAGACUAGUCCCUUCCUCCUAUUGAGCUUCCCGGAACCCCGAUGGGGUAGUUUUUCCCGUUACGCAGCGGGAAAACUGACUCUCAGAGAGGCUGAAGAACUUGCCCAGGGUCACACAGCAGGGAAGCGGACGAGCUGGGAUUUUAACCUAAGUGGUCUGGCUCCGAAAGUCAGAUUCUCUCUCUGACUUGAGCGCUACGCCCCCAGGGCAAAGGACUGUGUUCCCUAAAACCGCAGACAACUGCAGCGCCUUGGGUAUGAUUGAAAAAUUGGGACAGAGGCCACCCUUCUCAGGUUGGUGGGGCGGAUGCAGCUGCGGCCCUGGCAGCGGGUGAGCGACCGGCAGGAGCCCGCUCCCGCUGUUACCGUAAGUCUCAGAGGAGCGGGGCAUAACGAGAAGGGUAGCUAAGAGCAGGAAGGCCCGGAGGGCGCCGCGACGUGGAAGGACUGUGCGUUCCCGGCUGGCCGGGAGUGAGUACGGGUGCGCAGGCGCCUGCCGCAGUGUUUCGGAGGGUGAGGGUACCGGCUAUCAAGGGCUCAUUGUCGUGGAGGGAGAGCAGAAGGAAUGUCGGCCCAGAGGACAGAGUGUCACCGGCCCAGGACUGGAGUGCUCGCACCGGCUGGGCCCGGACCUGGAAUCUGUCCUUCCGCUCCUCCACUGGGAGUGCCAGAUGCGCCUUCAUGGGUCAUCAGAUUAAUCCUGAUAUCUCUCAAUUAGUUCGGGCUGCUCUAAAGGCCUUCUCUGUCCAGCAUUUUGUUUGCUCCUCCCCAGGUCUCUAAUGAAGUAGAAGAGGCCAGAGUUGUUCUGUCCAGUUUCCAGGUGAGGAAGCCAAGAUCUGGAGAAUUCAGAGGACUUGACCAAGGUUGCAGAGCCACAUUAUGGACCAAAGUCUCAGACUCUUCGCAAGCAAGACUAUGAAUGUUGUAGAGAAUUCUACAGAAUGAAUGAGUUAUUCUUAGUCCCCCGCCCCAUCCUUAAAGCCUGGCAGUACUGACACGCACAAAGGAAAGGCAGACAGUUGUGAAAAAAAUUACCGACAAUUUACAAGUAUACAUAACAUAAUGUGCUGUUUAAUGCAAGUUUUUAUUAUAAUAGACUUAAAGUUGUUUCAUAACUUCCAUUACUGGCAAUAUGUCAACUUUGGAAUGUUUUCCUAAUUAUUCUAGAGUCAGCCUUACAGUUCUUGGAAAGAAUUAGGAAAAAAAAGAAAGGUCACUGUUUUAAAAAUAGGCAUGAAAAGGGCCAAAAGAACCCAGAUCCAGAUGUAACUCUGCCCUGGUCUUAGGCCCUGAGGAGGGGGUUGCACUUUCACAAGUGGCAACAGUAUGGCCCAUCUGCAACUGAACAGCCAGGUUCCCUCCAAAAAUUGAACCAUUUUCCUUUUAUUAGAAACUUCCCUCCAUCACGACCCUCAUCUUUUCCUAAUACUGGCAAUGGAAAAAGAAAAAGCCCAUGUGCUCAGGCUCUAAGCUGGGAGCAUGAUAUUGAGCUCUCAGCUAAGCCUCACGGCCAUCCUCAGAAGGAAAGAUGGGUCUCCCCAUUUUACAGAUGAGAAAACAGGCCUGAAGAGGUUAGACAACUGGCCUGAGCUCACACAGGUAGUAAGUGGGAGAGCCAGGUGAAGACUCAGGCUUGUAAAUAUUAACUUUGACUUCCAAUAGCCACGAAACCACUUUCCCUGUGGGUGUAGAUUCUGAGAGCAUCUGAACCAGAAGGCGAGGAGCAGCAAGGAGCUGGUCUGAGUGCAGUGAGGCCUGGAUUUUAAGCCCAGGAGGGAGGCAGACAGAUCCCAAGGAUCUUCGGAGAGAGAGAAGAUCUGUAACUGCUAUGAGAACAGAAUCAAUGGUGGAGGAGUGCUCUCAAACUUGCCCAGCCAAGAUUUCUGGCACUUCAAAGACAGUUGGUGACAAGCCCUGUUGCCUGGAGCUCGUAUACGGACCUCCUGGACCUAUAGAUGGCAGAGCAACAAGGUGGAAGAAGCCUGGGUCUCUGAUAUCAUGGAGCACCACACCAUAAGGACCAAAGGCCUACAAGAGAAUGAGAAAUGAAGGAGUGUUUGCCAAAUGAAAAAGAGAGAGACAGAGACAGAAACCUAUAAGAAAAUGUAAAUUUGCAAAGUUUUUCUGGGUAGUGAUAAAGGGGUGUGUGUGUGUGCGUGAGAGAGAGAGAUUUUCCACUGAGAAUUAUACAACAUCUUCAUAGAACAUCAGAUUACACUAAACCUUUUUCCAGGCAGGCAGCUGAACCAAAGAAAAAGUUGCUAGAGCACAAACAGCAACAUAGUUAUUUUUAGGCGUACAAUAUGCCACUUUUUAAAAAAACCAUUUUACCAGCCCAGUGAUAUCACCUAAGUGAGACACUGGAGCAAGAUUAUCAAGAGGGCAAAUGAGAAGUUUCUUUGGAGAUAGAAUGAAAAGGAAGAAGCCUUUCUCAGACCGAUUGAGAAAAACAGUCAACUCUCCUAUUCCUAUUUCUGUUCUCAAUUUGCUGUGAGACUUUAAGUGAGCUAUUAAACAUCUUGGACCUUAGUAAAAUGGGGUGGUAAUUUCAUAUACAGUGGGUAUUGUUAAGCUUUCUUGAUUUCAGAUCCAAAUUGAGCCUCUCUCACAAAAAAGUGUGGCUUUUGUAAGCUGUUCACCUACUGCUGGGGAGCUAAGGGGAUAUGUCUGAAGAGCUAACACAGUUACAGAUAGAUAUUCCAUAUGCUGACUCAACAUAAAUGCCUCACAUUUUUAUUUCCUUGGUGGAGAAACAUCAGGGUCUCUGGCCUGUUUUACGUGCUUUAGUCUUGGGUGGGAAAUGCGCCUAAGUAAAAUAAGCCAUUUCAUAAGUAUUUCUCCUUGCCCACACCAGUUAUUAUCGCUAACAACUCAUUUUCCAUCCACCGUGUUUCCCUGUGCUGGUUUUAUGAUAGGGAGUCUCCACCACUGUGGGCCCUCUGCUAGUCUAGCCAAUUUUUUCCACCUCCCCAGUGAAAAUGUGGAAUGGAACUCAGAAUUCUGAUAGGGCUGGCCAUGUGACAUGGCUGUUACUUCUCUGGUCUCCAUCUACUCUAUAGGUGGCAAGUUUGAAGGUCUGGGACAAUUCCCCUGAUGGUUAGAUGCACCAGUUUCCUACGGGAUCAGAUUAGCAUGUUCAAGUAUAAUUUCUAUAGUACUGGCCAGGUCUACUUUCAGACUGUUCAUGAGGAUGAGGAACAGCUGCCUGCAGUUCUAUGAAGUUUCUUAGCAAAGAACCCAGCACCAGGAAGCUGAAAGUAAGACACAUGCCAGCCCUUAAGGAUUCUCUCCAUUCUAUAGGUGUAGAUGGAGGCAGAUGAUCUGACCAAUGACUAGGUCAAAAGCCCAAGAGCACAGGUCAGGGUCAUGUGCAGCAUCUUUGGCCAAUGACUGUGUUUUAUUGAGGCCCCUGGGCAGCCAGGAGAAUGGACCAGUGGUCAAGAAAGUUGGCUCUAGUCCUGCCCCUCCCAUCACCUGGCUGGAUGACCUUGGAUAAGUCACUUUAUCCAAGGGCUCCUCUGGGCCCUCCUCAGUACCAGUCUCAACUCUGCCACACACUGGGUAACCUUGGCCAAUUCACGGCAUCAAGCAUCAGAGGAAGCUAAUACUCAGGGUGCUCCCACCAUGAUAUUCUGUGACUCCAGCAGCAGCCUGGUAGUAGCAAUGAAAGAUAUGGCCUUGGUCAUGUUAGGAAAUUGAGAGGACUGGGAUGGCAGCUUCUCAGCUCCAGCUGAUAGUGUUGCUAAAUAUUUCAUUUUUAAGUGUUUUUACAUGUUGGCAACUAAUUUGAAUUGUUACAAAAUUCUGUAUUGGCCAAUGACUCGAGGCCAGAAGUGGCCUACUAGGCCAACUGGAGACCUCUGCAGUCCACUGACCCAAAGAAGAGACCUACUAGGUGGGGACCUGCGGGGGAGGAGGGGUGGAUGCCGCGUCCCGCACGUGGAGGACACAGGUCUCCUGGCCAACGCUGGGCUGACUUGUCUGAGCUCCACAGCUCUGCUGCUCCUACUCCAGCCUCAGUUUCCCCAGCGCACCUGAAGUAGUCUAGGUCAGCCUGGGAGUAUUUUCCUCUAUCCACAGGUGGGCCCAUCAGUCGAGGGCAGAAAGAGAAGCACAGUGUAGCGGGCAGGAACCGAGCCCUCGGGGCGCUCACGCGUCGCCCGGUGGGUCCCCCUGCCUCCUAACCCGAGACGCGCCGGGCUGCCCUCUGCAAACACCGCGCCAGGGGUGCGGGCUCCCGCGGCCCGGCGGCGCGCACAGCCGCGCCCGCGAGCAAGCCCGGGGAGCGCGCUGCAGCCUGGAACGCCCUAAAACCAACCAACCGUACGUAUCUGUUGGGAGGAAAUCCGACCCUUCGGGAACAGUGAGCUGGGCGAGCCCAUUCCUGCCUGGGCUUAAAAAUGCAUUCUCCAUCUGCUGAGAAAGCCUCGGGCUCCAGGCGGCGGGGUCCGGCCCCUCUGAGUUGUCGGGAGCCCUGCAGACACCGCGAUACCCGAGGGACCCUCGCUCCGACCUGCCCCACCCCUCAGACACACACCAGUGCUCCCUGGCAUGGGGUCUUCCUUUCAAGGCCCCCUCACCUAUUCCAGCCUUCCCUCCCUGGAGGCGAAGCUCUGUCGAGUUCAAAGAAAGAAGCCUAUUUUCUAUAUAAUUCAGUUUGUGCAAAAGAACUUGGAACACGGACGACAGGGUACACGGACACCGACAUCCUCACACUACCGGUGAAACGUAAAAACAAAACCAAAAUCAAAACCCACAGAUUAAACCUUUUUGGAGGCAAUUUUGACAUUUAAUGCAUUUACAGUUAUUCCGUUUGUUCCCACAAUCUCACUUCUUGAAACUUUUCCUACACAAUGCAUUCAAAAAAAGUAUUUGCUACGUCAUUUUGGUGAUAAUGAAAAAGUAGAAAUAACCCAACCCUCCAUUAUUAUAUAAAUAAAAUGGUUAAAUAAAUAAUGAGCAUACAUGUCAAGAAAUACUUUACAUAAAAGGAGAUCUGUGUGUUCACAAACAGGUCCAAGCUUACAUUAAAUGAAAGAGUAAGCCCUAAAAAACAGUAUACAUGGUAUGAUUCCACAUUUGUUAAAGUGUAGAAAGAAAUUGUAAGUAAAUGUCUGCAACUCACUUGGAUGUGAUUAGUGACUUUUUAUUUCAUGGAUAAUUAUAUAGGAAAUAUAUGUAUAUUUUCAUAUGCACAUACAUCUUGAGGAAUAUAUACCCAACUAUUACAUUAUUUAUCUUUGGGGUGAUGGUGAAGGGGUGUAUGUGGACCAUUAACUGGGCAUGCUUAUACAUUUCUUCGAAGUUUGAUUUUUUUUUAGUAAGCAUGCAUUAGUUUUGUAUUUCACACACAUGAAACAAUAAAGAUUUUUAAAAUUGCACCCCUUCCUCAUCCUGAGACCACGAGAUUAUUAUCACUUGUCCACUUCUCUCUGAUCUUUUUAUUACUAUGCAAUUUUUCCUUCAACCUCUGUUGUACACUAUCCAAGAAACUUGCAUUCCUUUCACUUCAACAUACAAAUUGCCUGUUUCAUAUGUGCAAAUGGUUUCCAAAAUCCCUUAAACCAAAAGAAUGAAAGAAGUGAGAAUAUUACUUCCACUUAAUCUAUUCAUACAAUUCAAAUGAAAAGAUUAAGUGCAGUAUUUUUUGGCCCUGGAAAGCAUUACAGUUUUUAAUACAUUACUUCUCAAGUUCUGUGUAGAUGUGGCCUGUUUUGUCCUCUAGCAGCACAAAUUCUCUCUCGAUGCAGCAAAUGAUGAGAGCAGAUCUUUAAAACACGGUUUUUGUUUCUAUUUAAUCCAGAAAGGCUUCAUACUUUAUGGAGGAAAUAGCAUUGGAAAGUCGCACAGGAUUUCCAGGGACUGGAAAUUUCCAGGAGUUGGAGUAGGAAGGGCACUCUCAGUUGAAGGAAGGACACUGUGAAAGUGGCUAGGAGAGGAGAAUGUGACUUGGAACAUGGGCUGGAUUCUGGGAUUGUUUAAAUCAGUCUGAGUGUGCUCCCAGAAACAUGAGCUCAGUUCAUACCAUGGGAAAUGAGCAUGGCCACAUUUCAAACAUGCAGAAAUGAUGGAGUUGUCUGGCAUGUCAAAAUAUUCAUACAGAAAAAUGGCACCCAGUAGCAAUAAGCUGAGAGAUUCCACCCCCACCAAGAUGUCGGAUGUAGUUCUUAUUUACACAUAAAACAUCAUAUUUCCUUAGGCAAAAAUCUCGGGAUAUUACAGGAUCACACAUACAACUCAGGAUUUUUGCUCAGACCCCUGACAUCCCUCUCCUUUUCAUAUGCAUUAAUACCAUCAGUGUAAAAUGCAAGUUCUCUGGAAUAAACUACCUGGGUCCCAGUCCUGACUUUGCCAAAUAUUAGCUUAUGACUUUGAUCAAGUUAUUUAACUCCUCUGUGCUCCAACUUCAUUAGCUCAAAUGGAGAGAACAACACUACUCAUUUUACAAUAUGUUAUGCAGUUUAAACAAGACAAUGUAUAUAAAGCUUUUAGAGCACUAAGCUCUUUAGAAUACAAAUGUAGCCUUAGAAUAUAAAGCUUUCUAGAAUACAAAGUUUAAUAAAAGUUAUCCACAAUUAUUACUUACUCUUUUACUCCCCCUCAAAAAGCUUAUUCUUCCCCCAUUCUCCCCCCCAUU